rnacentral:rRNA from 1 species
CCUACGGGUGGCUGCAGUGGGGAAUUUUGGACAAUGGGGGAAACCCUGAUCCAGCCAUCCCGCGUGUAUGAUGAAGGCCUUCGGGUUGUAAAGUACUUUUGGCAGAGAAGAAAAGGUACCUCCUAAUACGAGGUACUGCUGACGGUAUCUGCAGAAUAAGCACCGGCUAACUACGUGCCAGCAGCCGCGGUAAUACGUAGGGUGCAAGCGUUAAUCGGAAUGUCUGGGCGUGGAGCGUGAGUAGAGAUGUGAAAUCCCAGGGCUCAACCUUGGAACUGCCUUUUUAACUGCCGAGCUAGAGUAUGUCAGAGGGGGGUAGAAUUCCACGUGUAGCAGUGAAAUGCGUAGAUAUGUGGAGGAAUACCGAUGGCGAAGGCAGCCCCCUGGGAUAAUACUGACGCUCAGACACGAAAGCGUGGGGAGCAAACAGGAUUAGAUACCCCGGUAGUC